GGCGCAAGACUUGCUAACUAAACACCACAGGUAGCCAACGGCGGUUGCCCUCCACGACAAAGACGUCGC
rnacentral:ncRNA from 1 species